rnacentral:rRNA from 1 species
UAUUGGACACUGGUGGCAACCCUGAUCCAGCCAUGCCGCGUGUGUGAAGAAGGUCUUCGGAUUGUAAAGCACUUUAAGUUGGGAGGAAGGGCUUUAGGUUAAUACCCUGAAGUUUUGACGUUACCAACAGAAUAAGCACCGGCUAACUCUGUGCCAGCAGCCGCGGUAAUACAGAGGGUCCAAUCGUUAAUCGGAAUUACUGGGCGUAAAGCGCGCGGAGGUGGUGCAGUAAGAUGGGUGUGAAAGCCCCGGGCUUAACCUGGGAACUGCUUUCAUAACAGCUGAGCUAGAGUACGGUAGAGGGUAGUGGAAUUUCCUGUGUAGCGGUGAAAUGCGUAGAUAUAGGAAGGAACACCAGUGGCGAAGGCGACUACCUGGACUGAUACUGACACUGAGGUGCGAAAGCGUGGGGAGCAAACAG